GACAUCUCCUGAGUGGAAUACCACAGAAAUACAAAGACAUUCUAUAACUCCACAAAUAAUAGUCUGCAAAAACAUGAACUCAACUGGAGUGGCUGAACUGCAGGAGUCUAAUUGAAGCUUCAGAAAUACAGAUAAAGAUAAAAAAGCUGUGAACAUCUGAUACUCAGUACUAUUAACACGUAACUGAGAAAAUAUCUUUGAAUAUAGUUUUUUAAAAAGAGAAUUUUCCAUUUUUUCCAUUUUACUGCUUAUUUCAAUAUGUUUCAGAAGAGUAAGUCUACAAGGAUUACUGAUAGCCCAGAGUCAUUAUUACGGAAAAAUAACUAGAUACUUUGUGCAAGAAAGUUUGGUUUGGUUUUCAAGUUAAAAGUUACACUCUUAUACAAUGCUUUUAAUGGUACAGAAAUAAAUGCCUGGAUAUCUAUCUAUGUUCAAGUUAUUUGAUGCUAUUCUGAAGAAAAAUCCUCAUCAUACUGCUUCUAUAAAAUUCAAGGUCAACUACUAAAUCAGGAGUACUAAUAGGUUCAAUGGAAGUGUCAGUAAUCUCUGCAAAACACCAAAAAUUUGUCCCCAAACUAACGACCAAUUAAUCUACCUGUGAAUGUUGUAAAUGAGAUGAUUGGUCGCACUUUUUCAUUGCUAUCAUAACUGAACAGUUGCUGCACAGGGCAGAUGCCAAACAAGAACUACCUGUAGAUUUAGGAAGUGGUAUAUGCUCUUGCUACUUCCUGUGACAAUCUCUUGUUGCAGAUUAAUGAUAACGACAAUACCAAAAUAAUGCUAUUUACUAACAAGCACAAGAGGGUAAAUUAUCAUGUGAUCAGAGUUUACUACAGGUAACCUGACCCAGAAGUAUAUCAGACAAUGAUUAUUUGAUAAGAAACUGAGGCUAGUCUCAUUCUACUGAUGUGUUCUUAGAAAACCAGAUAUUUAGUCAUAAGGCUGUCGGAGACCUUAAUUUGAUUUUAAUGUCUCUAGCAUUAAAAGAAAUGAAUGGCAGUUCAUGACUUAGUAAGAAUAGUCAUAUGAAGUUUUUAGUUGGGGGACCUACAUAGUACACUAAUCUAGUAAAGGCCAACCAUGCCCUUGUGAUAUCAAUUCUUUUAUCUGGAUAAAUGGUAAUGUAUAAUAUCUUAACCCAAAUGAGAAAUAUUAGCCCACUGAUAAUUUGGGCAUACAUUACUUUUAGCAAACCAGUUCUAGGUUUAGCUUUUAAACUGAAAUAAGCAUAUAACAAAACCUAAACCAAGUCUGAUCAGGGCAAUUUUUUUUUUAUCUUUGGGGAAUGUUGUAUCAUGAUAUGGGGUUGAUCUACACUUUUAUCAUUUAAUGAAUAGACUAUAUAAAUAGAGAACAAAGCCCAUACCUUUCUAAAACUGAAGAUGUUAUCUAGUCAGAUAAUGAAACAAGCAAAUAACCAAACUCAGAAAACACCAAGGACUCCAAGGUCACAUUUUAAUUAAUUUAUUUCAUUUAAUGAGUUAUUCCUUAUGCCUUACAACAAAGUUAGAAACAAUAGUAAACAAUAACUAUUAAAACAUUAAAAACUAUAAAAACUAAGGCCCUUUUCAUCCAGCUAUAUAACGUAAACAAUAGCACAAAGAUACCUAAAUAUUGGUUAACGUACAAAGCAAAAAAUUUUAACUAAGAGGAAAAAUAAAGACUUUAGUAAUACUUAACUUCAGUCCUUGAGGUAUGACCCUAUUGGAACCUGUCCAUUAGGGUCGUAAGUCAAAAAUGUCGUAAAAUGAAUCAGACUCAAUUUUACAACAUUUUAAUUUAAUUUAUUAAAAUUUAUUUCAUAAAACAAGUUAUUCUUUAUGCAUUAUAACAAAGAUCAAAACAAUAGUAAACAAGUAAUUAUUAUAAAAACAUUCUUCCUAACUUCCUCUUUUACCGCUUCAGGAGUCGAGAGAUACAAAGUUCUGGUUCUUGUUUUUGGUUUUCUCAUUGCAUUUUUAAUUAAAAAUUAAAAAUCAAGGUCUUUUCAUAUAAAGCUAUAUAAUGUAAAAAAGAUGUAUAAUGACAUCUAAAUAUUGAUUAAACUACAAAGCAAAAACUUGUAACAAAGAGGAAAAAUAAGGUUUCUAAGAAUAUUUAACAAAGAAUAUAUAGUAAUUUAAGGCGGUCCUCUUAAUUUAGUCUCUUCUUUUCCACUCUUCUUGGAUCUUCUUUUCCCACUAAGGAGAGACAUUUAUUAUUCUUAUGGUUAGCAGCACCAUCUCUGGAACCUGCAGAAGAUGGUGAUGCAGAUCUACUAGCAUCCGUGGCACUAAAGCUGCACAGUUGGAUAGGCUGCUCUUUCUUCUAGUGCUAUUCCCGAGUUAUGGCAGGGUCUUCUCCAUUUGGCUCGAUCCAGUGCAUCUUCAGGGGCAACACCCAUGUAUCUCCUAUCCUUUUUGAUGCGAUUCACCCCCUUUUCUUGGACCUACCACAGAGUUGCCAGCCAUCAGGAUCCAGAUGCAUGGCUGUCCUCGUCAAUGAGUCUUUACCUCGUAAAGGUUUGACAUACUCAACAACACAAUUGUCAAAAGAAUCACAGCUGUCACCAUUCACUUCUACAUUUGCUGGUUGUGACAUCUGCAACCCAGUUAUGUUUGCAGAAGGCUCUUCAUCAGCGCUUCCAGAGGUGUCUCAGUUGAUGGAGAAGCAUGCAUUUGCUCUAAAUUGGCAUAAAAUGGGCCUGGUGUUUCAUCAUCCCAGGGUGCCUGGCCUGUGUCACUUCUGAAAGCAUUACGUUCAGGUACUUGGGUUUCAGUUUCAUCAGGAGAUACGGUAACAAUAGAAGACUCAGUUGCUUCCUUCUUUACCUGCUGGAGCUGGACAAUUGUAAUUUGCAUGCUCAUCAUAUGCAUCUAUAGUAAAAGGACAUAACAGCAAAGUUGAUAAACUCAUCCUUACUUUGGAAUAAGAAAAGUUGUAAUUGAUUAGCACAUGCCUUGCUUUCUAGAAUCUAGAUCAAACUUGAUUAAAUUAUGCAUUAUUAUACGUUAUACAUUAAUGGGAGAGCCAUGAAUAUCCAACGGGACUGUAAGUUUGCUUUUAAACCAUGGAAGCAGCCUCUGAAGGCAGGCUGGAUUCCUAAAGAAAAUGACAUCUCUAUAACCCCCCCACUACUGGCACUUCCAUCUAUAGGUCCAACAGAGGAUGGUGAUGCAGAGCUGUGAUUCAGAUGUGUUUCUUUUUAUCACACCUUGUAUUAGGGAUCGUUCCUUCAUAAACAAUUUCAACGCUUGGGCUUCUUGACCAUUUUUUCUUCUUGAGUCUCAGCUUCUGUCUGCAAUGUUAGCUACCUUUCCACAGAUGGCCUGGGGCUUUGGUAAAGAUUUCUUCAGAAGCUUUAGGCUUUCUCUUGUAGACUAAGUUUCUUUGCUACCUCUCUGGUAUAAUACUCAGAUUAAAAUGGCUUUUUAAUCCAAUAUUUUAGUUGAUGCACUCUUUCAGUGUCAUCAAAUUUUGCUUAACAGCCAUCAAGAGUCAACCGGACAACCUUACUAGACUUAAUUAAAUUAGAAUUAAAUUAAUUUUUCUCCAAGCUUAGUAAUAACAGUAACCAUUAAUCCUAUUUAUUAGUUCUGGAUAUUUAAAAACAAUUAGUCCCUUUUAAUAAUUUAAACAAUACAGCCAAAAGACAAACACAAGUAGAUGCAAGCAUUUCGUAUUGACUCAUCAGUACCUAUAUUACAAUAACAAAGUUAAAAUCAGCCUCAUAGUUCUGGAUAUUUUUUUUUCCCCAAAUCAUUUUUUAUUUUAAAACAAACAAAAAAAGAAAGAAAAAUAAUACAGACAUAAUUCAUUCAUAGUUCUGGAUAUAUUUAUGAUGGUCUCCUCACUGAAGCUUUAGUGUGAGUAGCCUCAGGAUUCAAAGUGGUUUACCUAAAUGAAGAAACUUUAACUUCUUUGACUAUGCAUUCCAUUUUGUUUUCUCUUUUAAUGUUUCUAAGUUGUAUGUUUUCUAAGACCUAUCAAUAACCAAAAUAAAGUACUUUGUUGUUGGA